rnacentral:rRNA from 1 species
UACAGAGACCUCAAGCGUUAUCCGGAAUCAUUGGGCGUAAAGCGUACCGAUAGGUGGUUGUAUAAGUCAGAAGUGAAAUCUCCGAGCUCAACUCGGAAUCUGUCUUUUGAAACUAUACAACUAGAGGGGCAAAGAGGAAGCUGGAACGAACGGUGUAGUAGUGAAAUGCGUUGAUAUCGUUCGGAACACCAAUAGCGAAGGCAGGCUUCUGGGUGCCGCCUGACACUGCUAGGACGAAAGCGUGGGGAGCGAAUGGG